AGCAGUAGCCGCGGUAAUACGGAGGGUGCAAGCGUUAAUCGGAAUUACUGGGCGUAAAGCGCACGCAGGCGGUCUGUCAAGUCGGAUGUGAAAUCCCCGGGCUCAACCUGGGAACUGCAUUCGAAACUGGCAGGCUAGAGUCUUGUAGAGGGGGGUAGAAUUCCAGGUGUAGCGGUGAAAUGCGUAGAGAUCUGGAGGAAUACCGGUGGCGAAGGCGGCCCCCUGGACAAAGACUGACGCUCAGGUGCGAAAGCGUGGGGAGCAAACAGGAUUAGAUACCCCAGUAGUCCCUGUCUCUUAUAC
rnacentral:rRNA from 1 species